rnacentral:rRNA from 1 species
AUUGAACGCUGGCGGCAGGCCUAACACAUGCAAGUCGAGCGAGCGGCGGACGGGUGAGUAAUGUCUGGGGAUCUGCCCGAUAGAGGGGGAUAACUACUGGAAACGGUAGCUAAUACCGCAUACCAUCAGAUGUACCCAUAUGGGAUUAGCUAGUAGGUGUGGUAAUGGCUCACCUAGGCGACGAUCCCUAGCUGGUCUGAGAGGAUGACCAGCCAAACUGGAACGGUGACACGGCCCAGCCGCCUACGGGAGGCAGCAGGGGGGAAGAUUGCACAAGGGGCGCAAGCCAGAUGCAGCCAUGCCGCGUGUGUGAAGAAGGCCUUAGGGUUGUAAAGCACAUUCAGUGGUGAGGCGUUACCGGCAGAAGAAGCACCGGCUAACUCCGUGCCAGCAGCCGCGGUAAUUC